AGCGGCGCGCUUAAUGCAUGCAAGUCGAGCGAUGAGGUCUCCUUCGGGGGACACAUCAGCGGCAGACGGGUGAGUAACACGUAGGUAACCUACCCCAGAGACAGGGAUAACCCUAGGAAACGAGGGCUAAUACCGGAUGACCUCCGGAAGGAGGAAAGGCUCAGGCGCUCUGGGAGGGGCUUGCGGCCCAUCAGCUAGUUGGUAGGGUAAAGGCCUACCAAGGCGAAGACGGGUAGGGGGUGUGAGAGCACGGCCCCCCACAAUGGGACUGAAACACGGCCCAUACUCCUACGGGAGGCAGCAGCAGGGAAUAUUGCACAAUAGGCGAAAGCCUGAUGCAGCGACGCCGCGUGAGUGAAGAAGGCCUUCGGGUCGUAAAGCUCUUUUGUAGGGGAAGAGGAAGGACGGUACCCUAAGAAGAAGCGUCGGCUAACUACGUGCCAGCAGCCGCGGUAAGACGUAGGACGCGAGCGUUAUCCGGAAUUACUGGGCGUAAAGGGCCAGCAGGCGGCUUGGUAAGUUGUGCGUGAAAGCCUCGUGCUCAACGCGAGGAAGCCGGACAAUACUGUCAAGCUAGAGGGCAUCAGAGGGGAGUGGAAUUCCCGGAGUAGCGGUAAAAUGCGCAGAUAUCGGGAGGAACACCGAUGGCGAAGGCAGCUCCCUGGGAUGCACCUGACGCUAAGAGGCGAAAGCUAGGGGAGCGAACAGGAUUAGAGACCCUGGUAGUCCUAGCUGUAAACGCUGGGUGCUAGGUGUGGGACGUAGAAGUUCCGUGCCGGAGCAUACGCGAUAAGCACCCCGCCUGGGAAUUACGGUCGCAAGGCUAAAACUCAAACGAAUUGACGGGGCCCCGCACAAGCAGCGGAGCGUGUGGUUCAAUUCGAUGCUACACGAAGAACCUUACCUGGGUUUGACAUGUACGUGGUACGAAGGCGAAAGCCUAAGGACCCUUCGGGGAGCGUACACAGGUGCUGCAUGGCUGUCGUCAGCUCGUGCCGUGAGGUGUCGGGUUAAGUCCCGUAACGAGCGCAACCCUUGCCCUUAGUUACAAGUGUCUAAGGGGACUGCCGGCGGGAAGCCGGAGGAAGGUGGGGAUGACGUCAAGUCAGCAUGGCCCUUAUGUCCAGGGCUACACACAC
rnacentral:rRNA from 1 species